rnacentral:rRNA from 1 species
CGGGACGGGUGAGUAACGCGUGGGUAACCUGCCUCAUACAGGGGGAUAACAGUUAGAAAUGACUGCUAAUACCGCAUAAGCGCACGAGAUCGCAUGAUAAAGUGUGAAAAACUCCGGUGGUAUGAGAUGGACCCGCGUCUGAUUAGCUGGUUGGCGGGGUAACGGCCCACCAAGGCGACGAUCAGUAGCCGACCUGAGAGGGUGACCGGCCACAUUGGGACUGAGACACGGCCCAAACUCCUACGGAAGGCAGCAG